AGCAGCCGCGGUAAUUCCAGCUCCAAUAGCGUAUAUUAAAGUUGUUGCAGUUAAAAAGCUCGUAGUUGAAUUUCGGGGUCAGUAGGUUGGUCGUGCCACUGGUAUGUACUGGCCUCACUGAUUCCUCCUUCCUGAUGAACCGUAAUGCCAUUAAUUUGGUGUUGCGGGGAAUCUGGACUGUUACUUUGAAAAAAUUAGAGUGUUUAAAGCAGGCUAACGCUUGAAUACAUUAGCAUGGAAUAAUGGAAUAGGACGUUCGAUCCUAUUUUGUUGGUUUCUAGGAUUGACGUAAUGAUUAAUAGGGAUAGUUGGGGGCAUUAGUAUUCAAUUGUCAGAGGUGAAAUUCUUGGAUUUAUUGAAGACUAACUACUGCGAAAGCAUUUGCCAAGGAUGUUUUCAUUAAUCAAGAACGAAAGUUAGGGAUCGAAGACGAUCAGAUACCGUCGUAGU
rnacentral:rRNA from 1 species